UGAGCAAGCCGGGCAGUCGCGUGCGCGAGAGCGCAUGAGGAAAGUCCGGGCUCCACAGGGCAAGGACGCCGGAUAACGUCCGGUGAAGGUGACUUUAAGGAAAGUGCAACAGAAACACACCGCCGAAACGGGUUGUGCCGUGGUAAGGUUGAAAUGGUGAGGUAAGAGCUCACCGGCGGCAUGGUAACAUGCCGGCCGUGUAAACCCCGUCCGGAGCAAGGCCAAGCAGGGCAUCGCCAUCCGCGGAUGACAGCGGCGGCCCGUCGCUGCCCAAAAUGGUAGGCCGCAUGAGCCUGUUGGCGACAGCAGGCCUAGAUAGAUGAUUGCCGCCCGCUUUGCGGGGCCGCGCGACGCGCGUCCUGUGGGGCGGGACACAGAACCCGGCUUAUGGCUUGCUCAUCAU
rnacentral:RNase_P_RNA from 1 species